rnacentral:rRNA from 1 species
AACGAACGCUGGCGGCAGGCCUAAAACAUGCAAGUCGAACGAUCUAGCAAUAGAUAGUGGCGCACGGGUGCGUAACGCGUGGGAAUAUGCCCUUCACUACGGAACAACGUCGGGAAACUGACGCUAAUACCGUAUAAUGACUCCGGCCCAAAGAUUUAUCGGUGAAGGAUUAGCCCGCGUCUGAUUAGGUAGUUGGUGAGGUAAUGGCUCACCAAGCCGACGAUCAGUAGCUGGUCUGAGAGGAUGAUCAGCCACACUGGGACUGAGACACGGCCCAGACUCCUCCGGGAGGCAGCAGUUAGGAAUAUUGGACAAUGGGGGAAACCCUGAUCCAGCCAUGCCGCGUGUGUGAAGAAGGCCUUAGGGUUGUAAAACACUUUCGGCUGUGAAGAUAAUGACAGUAGCAGAAGAAGAAGCUCCGGCUAAAUUCGUGCCAGCAGCCGCCGUAA